rnacentral:misc_RNA from 1 species
GAUGAAGAACGCAGCGAAAUGCGAUAAGUAGUGUGAAUUGCAGAAUUCAGUGAAUCAUCGAAUCUUUGAACGCACAUUGCGCCCCUUGGUAUUCCAUGGGGCAUGCCUGUUCGAGCGUCAUUUGUACCUUCAAGCUCUGCUUGGUGUUGGGUGUUUGUCUCGCCUCUGCGUGUAGACUCGCCUCAAAACAAUUGGCAGCCGGCGUAUUGAUUUCGGAGCGCAGUACAUCUCGCGCUUUGCACUCUUAACGACGACGUCCAAAAGUACAUUUUUACACUCUUGACCUCGGAUCAGGUAGGGAUACCCGCUGAACUUAAGCAUAUCAAUAAGCGGAGGA